rnacentral:rRNA from 1 species
CCUACGGGUGGCAGCAGUCGAGAAUCAUUCACAAUGGGGGAAACCCUGAUGGUGCGACGCAGCGUGGGGGAAUGAAGGUCUUCGGAUUGUAAACCCCUGUCAUGUGGGAGCAAAUUAAUAAGAUAGUACCACAAGAGGAAGAGACGGCUAACUCUGUGCCAGCAGCCGCGGUAAUACAGAGGUCUCAAGCGUUGUUCGGAAUCACUGGGCGUAAAGCGUGCGUAGGCGGUUUCGUAAGUCGUGUGUGAAAGGCGGGGGCUCAACCCGCGGACGGCACAUGAUACUGGGAGACUAGAGUAAUGGAGGGGGAACCGGAAUUCUCGGUGUAGCAGUGAAAUGCGUAGAUAUCGAGAAGAACACUCGUGGCGAAGGCGGGUUCCUGGACAUUAACUGACGCUGAGGCACGAAGGCGAGGGGAGCGAAAGGGAUUAGAUACCCCGGUAGUC